CUGACCUCAGGUGAUUCACCUGCCUUGGCCUCCCAAAGUGAUGGGAUUACAGGCGUGAGCCACCAUGACCAGCCUGGUAUAGAGAUUUCUAAAAAAACAAACCUAAAAAUAGAAGUCCUUACGGCUGGGCGCGGUGGCUCACGCCUGUAAUCUGAGCUCUUUGGGAGGCUGAGGCAGACAAAUCACCUGAGGUCAGGAGUCCGAGACCAGCCUGGCCAGUAUGGUGAAACCCCAUCCCUAUUAAAAAUAUAAAAAUUAGCCAGACAUCGUGGCACAUGCCUGUAAUCUGUAAUCCUAGCUACUCGGCAGGCUGAGGCAGGAGAAUUGCUUGAACCUGAGAGACAGAGGCUGCAGUGAGCCGAGGUCAUGCCACUGCACUCCAGCCUGGAUAACAGAAUAAGACUCUGUCUUAAAAAAAAAAAAAAAAGAUGUACCAUACAAACCAGCAAUCUCACUAACUGUGUAUUUACCCAAAGGAAAAGAAACAUAUAUUUCUUUCAUCAGUAUAUCAAAGGGAUACCUGCACUCUUACGUUUAUCAUAGCACUAUUCACAAUAGCAAAAAUAUGGCAUCAACCUAAGUGUCCAUCAAUGGAUGAAAUAAUUUUUUAUAUGAUGUACAUAUAUGUACCAUGCAAUACUAUUCAGCCAUAAAAAAAAGAAUGGAACCAUGUCAUUUGCAGCAAUGUGGAUGGAACUAGAGGUCAUUCUGUUAAGUGAAAUAAGGCAGGAACAAAAAGACAAAUACCACAUAUUCUCUCAUAUUGGAGCUAAAACAUUUAAUCUCUUGGAAAUAGAGAAUAGAAUCAUAGAUACCAGAGGCUGGGAAGGGUGGGUGGGUGAGAGAGGGAGGCUGGUUAAUGGGUAUGAACACAAGUAGAAGAAAGAAGUUCUAAUGUUUAAUAGCAGCCUAGGGUGACUAUAGUUAGCAACAAUACAUUAUAUAUUUCAAAGUAACUAGAAGAGAGGACUUGAAAUGUUACCAGCACAUAGAAAUGAUAAAUACUGAAGGUGAUAGAUACCCUCAAAUGCCCUGGCUUGAUAAUUACACAUUCUAUGCAUGUAACAAAUACAUGUAUCCCAUAAAUAUGUAAUUUUAAAAAUAUAUACUAUGUAUCAAUAGAAGAAAUAAUGCUAAGUGCUUUUAUUAAUAACACUAUAAGUGGUUGAUGUCUUGUGAAGAAACAACUUUAAUCAAUUCAAUGAGUCAGUGAAUUAGAUUUAUUAUGUAGUAUUGUUCAAUUUAGUGAGUUGAGUUAAUAUUAAUUUAUCAGCUGAUUAACUUGUCCUUAUGUACUGCAAUGAAAAUUCGUGUUUUUCUUUCAGAGGGUUUGACUGUGGAGAUUUUAGAAGCCUGUCUUCUCAAAUCUCGGUAUUUGUUUCAAAUCCUGUUCUCAAAAGAUUAAUGUAUGCCCUGAAGUAUGUUAGAUUUUGCACCUGAAUGAAUGUGUAAGUCACUUCCCACAACCAAUUCUGUUUUAGAGCGUUUUCAAGAUCUGCCUUUACCUAGAAGACUGUAUGACAUUCUGGCCAUCACAGCUCAAAAUAAUGUCUUUAUAAUUCCACAAAUGUGAUAUGCAUUACUAAUGGACUUAUUUUACUAAAAGCAAAGAGAGAAAUCUAUCACCUGAAAUAAAGAAAACUAAGAAUGUUCAACAAGUAAUGCUCAUCCUAAAAGCCAUGUCUAUGCUCAACCCAACUUAUUCACCAACUGGUCUAAUUCUCAAAUCCUCAUUCUUUGAAAAUUGAGUAAAUGUGUGUCAAUGAAAUACUUCCACCCUACUUGAUAAAUAGUAUAGUUAUGGACUACAUUAUUCCCCAAAUAUAGAUUGAAAAACAAAUAGUUUUCCUCAAAAAUUGUAAUAAACUCAUGGUUUAAUUUCCACAAAAUA
rnacentral:lncRNA from 1 species